rnacentral:rRNA from 1 species
UACGUAGGGUGCAAGCGUUAAUCGGAAUUACUGGGCGUAAAGCGCGUGUAGGCGGCAGGGCAUGUCGGAUGUGAAAUCCCGUGGCUCAACCACGGAAGUGCACCCGAAACUGCCCAGCUUGAGUCUCGGAGAGGAAGGCGGAAUGCUUGGUGUAGAGGUGAAAUUCGUAGAUAUCAAGCGGAACACCGGUGGCGAAGGCGGCCUUCUGGACGAUGACUGACGCUGAGACGCGAAAGCGUGGGGAGCAAACAGG